CAUAAAUGUCUUCCUCCACGACGGUGGUGCCCUAGUGCUAAUGGGCUCCAAUGGCUCAGGAAAAACCACUUCCUUGUGCAUGUUAGCUGGAUUUCUCAAGCCUUAGGCUGGAGAAAUCGCUGGAAACUCUAAAGAGAAAGCAAGAAUGCUCUCUAGGUGUCAAAGAAAGAAGGCGCAGCUUGCGAGGUUGCUUCCAAGAGAGACCAAUUUAGUUGCUUGAUGAACCUUCCGUGGCAUUUGAUUGGGAGGGGAUGAAGUUGCUAAAGCUUAGUUGCAGAGAGCUUCUAAAGUGGUGUCACUCCCGUCUUAGGAGCACGCGCUUGCACUCCCAACUAAGGAGCUUGACUGGAGCCCGCUCCCAUUGAGUUGGAAGCACGCUCCUUACAAAUGGGAGCUUCUAUACAAUCCUUGUAUAGAAAAGGCAAGGACUUAUCACUUGGCUUUAUUAAUUGGUCUUUGAUGAACUCAUGUAUCUAGCCCAAGUCAUGAUAUCUAGAAAAUAAAACUAGUAUAUUGCAACA